UACGAAGGGGGCUAGCGUUGUUCGGAAUUACUGGGCGUAAAGCGCACGUAGGCGGCUUUGUAAGUUAGAGGUGAAAGCCCGGGGCUCAACUCCGGAACUGCCUUUAAGACUGCAUCGCUUGAAUCCAGGAGAGGUGAGUGGAAUUCCGAGUGUAGAGGUGAAAUUCGUAGAUAUUCGGAGGAACACCAGUGGCGAAGGCGGCCCACUGGCUCGACACUGACGCUGAGGCGCGAAAGCGUGGGGAGCAAACAGG
rnacentral:rRNA from 1 species